rnacentral:rRNA from 1 species
GAUGAACGCUGGCGGCGUGCCUAAUACAUGCAAGUCGAGCGAACUGAUUAGAAGCUUGCUUCUAUGACGUUAGCGGCGGACGGGUGAGUAACACGUGGGCAACCUGCCUGUAAGACUGGGAUAACUUCGGGAAACCGAAGCUAAUACCGGAUAGGAUCUUCUCCUUCAUGGGAGAUGAUUGAAAGAUGGUUUCGGCUAUCACUUACAGAUGGGCCCGCGGUGCAUUAGCUAGUUGGUGAGGUAACGGCUCACCAGGGCAACGAUGCAUAGCCGACCUGAGGGGGUGAUCGGCCACACUGGGACUGAGACACGGCCCAGACUCCUACGGGAGGCAGCAGUAGGGAAUCUUCCGCAAUGGACGAAAGUCUGACGGAGCAACGCCGCGUGAGUGAUGAAGGCUUUCGGGUCGUAAAACUCUGUUGUUAGGGAAGAACAAGUACAAGAGUAACUGCUUGUACCUUGACGGUACCUAACCAGAAAGCCACGGCUAACUACGUGCCAGCCGCCGCGGUAA